AUUGAACGCUGGCGGCAGGCCUAACACAUGCAAGUCGAGCGGAUGAAGGGAGCUUGCUCCUGGAUUCAGCGGCGGACGGGUGAGUAAUGCCUAGGAAUCUGCCUGGUAGUGGGGGAUAACGUCCGGAAACGGGCGCUAAUACCGCAUACGUCCUGAGGGAGAAAGUGGGGGAUCUUCGGACCUCACGCUAUCAGAUGAGCCUAGGUCGGAUUAGCUAGUUGGUGGGGUAAAGGCCUACCAAGGCGACGAUCCGUAACUGGUCUGAGAGGAUGAUCAGUCACCCUGGAAGUGAGACACGGUCCAGACUCCUACGGGAGGCAGCAGUGGGGAAUAUUGGACAAUGGGCGAAAGCCUGAUCCAGCCAUGCCGCGUGUGUGAAGAAGGUCUUCGGAUUGUAAAGCACUUUAAGUUGGGAGGAAGGGCAGUAAGUUAAUACCUUGCUGUUUUGACGUUACCAACAGAAUAAGCACCGGCUAACUUCGUG
rnacentral:rRNA from 1 species